rnacentral:rRNA from 1 species
CCAGUGAAUGGCAAGACUAGGAAUAUCUGUACUUUGUAUAUGAAAAAAACUUUUCAUCUAAGUGAAAAGACUUAGAUAAUAAAGGAAGACGAAAAGACCCCGCGGAACUUUACCUUUUCUCAUACCUCUGUCUACAAACUUAAAAGUCUAUAAGGUUUGAUUGGGGCAAUCUUGGAACCAACAAAGCUUCCAACGACUUACAAUAUUUAUACAAAAUUUGUUAAAGACUAAAAAGUAGUUACCCCGGGGAUAACAGCGUAAUCCAACUAAAGAGUACACAUCGAAAGUUGGGUUUGCGACCUCGAUGUUGGCUUAAGGAUAUCCACAUAAGUGCAACCGCUAUGACAGGAUAGUCUGUUCGACUAUUAUACCCUUACAUGAUCUG